rnacentral:rRNA from 1 species
AGCAGUAGCCACGGGAAUACAGAGGGUGCGAGCGUUAAUCGGAUUUACUGGGCGUAAAGCGUGCGUAGGCGGCUUCUUAAGUCGGAUGUGAAAUCCCUGAGCUUAACUUAGGAAUUGCAUUCGAUACUGGGAAGCUAGAGUAUGGGAGAGGAUGGUAGAAUUCCAGGUGUAGCGGUGAAAUGCGUAGAGAUCUGGAGGAAUACCGAUGGCGAAGGCAGCCAUCUGGCCUAAUACUGACGCUGAGGUACGAAAGCAUGGGGAGCAAACAGGAUUAGAUACCCCAGUAGUCCUGUCUCUUAUACC